GCGCAGGAAAAGAAACCAACAGGGAUUGCCUUAGUAACUGCGAGUGAAGCGGCAAAAGCUCAAAUUUGAAAUCUGGCGUCUUCGGCGUCCGAGUUGUAAUUUGGAGAGAUUUCUUCGGGGUGAACACCGGUCCAAGUUCCUUGGAACAGGACGUCACAGAGGGUGAGAAUCCCGUGUCUGACCGGUUGCUUCAUUCCAUGUGAAGAGUCUUCGACGAGUCGAGUUGUUUGGGAAUGCAGCUCAAAAUGGGUGGUAAAUUUCAUCUAAAGCUAAAUAUUGGCGAGAGACCGAUAGCGCACAAGUAGAGUGAUCGAAAGAUGAAAAGCACUUUGAAAAGAGAGUUAAAAAGUACGUGAAAUUGUUGAAAGGGAAGCGCUUGAGACCAGACUCAAUUUGUGGUGAGCAUCAGUCCUUCUGGGCUGUGCACUUGCCACUUUUUGGGCCAGCAUCGGUUCUGACCGUGUGAUAAAGGUCCUGGGAAUGUAGCUCCUCUCGGGGAGUGUUAUAGCCCAGGGCGUAAUGACAUGAGUUGGGACCGAGGACCGCGCUUCGGCUAGGAUGCUGGCAUAAUGGUCUUCAGCGACCCGUCUUGAAACACGGACCAAGGAGUCUAACAUCUAUGCGAGUGUUCGGGUGGGAAACCCUUGCGCGUAAUGAAAGUGAACGGAGGUGGGAACCCCUCGGGUGCAGCAUCGACCGAUCCUGAUGUUCUCGGAUGGAUUUGAAUCGUCAACCUGCGAGCAUGCAAGCCUGAUCACUGGCCGUCGGUCUACACGUCACGACGGGGAAACGGUAACCCCCUAAAG
rnacentral:rRNA from 1 species